CCCUAUGGGGCGCACCAGGUCAGAGCGAGUUCCUGCUAAUAGACUCAAUUGAUACAGAUACAAAAAAUGUAAAAUUCACUGCAAUAAUCCUUAAUACCUUUGAUACAAAAGGCCUUGUCCAGCUUGUUAAAGUUCCGUUCUAUAAUACUGCUACUGUAACUUCCACUCUUACAUGUGAGCCCUGGGAUUCAGUUUCAAAAACAGGCGGAGUGCUUGUGAUGAUAGUAGGACGCACCCUGUUGCUUAAUGCAAAUAUUGAUGUAGAAGGUAAGGGUUUCAAAGGAGGCAUGGCAGCUGUAGGUGCAGGUUUAUGCACCAUCUCGGGCGCCGGACUUGAUAAUUUUGGUUAUCCUGCGAGUUACGAUAAUUCAGGUUACAAGGGAGAGC
rnacentral:rRNA from 1 species